rnacentral:tRNA from 1 species
CCUUCGAUAGCUCAGUUGGUAGAGCGGUGGACUGUAGUAGUUUAGGGAUCUAAUAGAGACAUCCAUAGGUCGCUGGUUCGAAUCCGGCUCGAAGGA